rnacentral:lncRNA from 1 species
CGUGGUUAGAAUAAUUGUCGUGAAAAAGCAAUAACUUGAAGAAGUAAUCCUGAAUUCUAUUCAGAGCAGGAAAAUUUAUUUAACAAUUUAUUUUUUACAGGUUUUUCAUAUUAAUUCCAUUAUUUAAUCGAGAAUUAAAUUAGAAGGUAGGCAAAUUCUACGCGUCAGUGGACCAAGCCAAGCGGCGGCGGCGGACUACACCUGCGACAUUGCUAGCGAACAUUGUUUAUUUUAUUUGGAACUUCCGUACAUGUGUUUUGAUACGCCAAAUUUUGAGAGUCAUAACGCGUUAUUCGUAAUAUAUUAAUGGUGUGUAAGGUGAGUGUGUUUUUACCACGAUUUAACGAAUCCCUGACUCAUUACCCGUUAAUUUUCAGUUGUUUAUCUCGUCGAGUGAAGUUUGUUUUGUUUUGAGUUAGGCUGACGACUCACGUAAAACUGUUAUCUUAAUGAAGACGCGUCAUAAAUGGCUGAUUCUUGACCUAAUUUGUUAGGGACCAUUCAUGUUUUUUCCCCCGACCCGGGCUCUUACUUCGAUUAAUUGUUUUAUCACGCGAUCCAAAUAAACUUCAAAAAAUUUUGUAAAUGCUCUAAAGGCUGUUCAAUCCAACUCAGUUGGUUGACUGUGAGCUAGUUUUAAGGUCCUGGUAGCACCAUCCAUGUACCAAAUUAAGAUGCUCUCUACAGCUUCAAGCUAAUUCGGGACUAACACACUUACUUGAUUUUACAAAUAUUCUUUAGUUCAGCUCUUUCAUCUUGUUCUUAUAUAUAAUCUUUUCCGCUCCUUCAUUAGAUCUUCAUAGAUGUGGAUCACUGCAGUUUGAUUCUCUGCAAUGCUUAUCAGUUUAAAGUUCAGUGAAAGUUCAGGUUAUAUAAAUGGCACCAGAAAAGCCGCUGGUGUCUGAAGUUGAACAUGCAGUUGCGAUGGUUCAGAAUGGUGCCCUCAGUGCUCAUUUUUUAACUGCGCCCAAUAAGUUCAAUAUCAAGGAAGAGUUUGAAAUCGAAGUCGAAGCGACUGCUGCUGAGGUUGAUUUUACGCAAACCGGUUGUUUGAAACAGGAAUCAACAGAUAACUCUAAUAACAAGCCUGGGAAAUCAGACGAUGAUUUAACUUCUCUAUCUUGGCUUCAAGAUAAAAACUUGUUGAAAGGGAUUAAACUGCGUCCAAACGCCUCAGCUUCUGCGGAGCAGUCAGCAAGACACCUGGAACAAAUGCUCCUAGCGAUACCCAAGAAUCACCGACUAGUGAUUUUGUAG